UGCACCCGCAUCAUACACACAUGCCUGUAUAUUUUGGUUGUUUUAUAGCUUGAGCGAAGUUUUAUGGACUCGAUAAAAAUCACACGGAACACACAGGAAACUGGGACAUGCUGCUGCUUAAUUUAUUCCUUCACAGCAUACCUGUUCUCUGCUGCAUUUUUAUCAGGGGUUACUAUCGGCCAAAGUGAAAAUCAGGAAAUCCAUGCUUCCCGAAACGGGAAUAGCUUUCAAGCUCCCACAUCAGUGUCCUCAAAUAUCUGGGAACAAGACAAUCAUUGCCUGUCAGCAAGUGACCUCCAACCCUCUGAAAGGCCAGGAGGCAGUUCUGAAGCUCCUGUGAUGAAUUAAAUGACUAAUCAUUCUGAAUGAGGAUCCCGUUUUAAUAAGACCCCAUACUGGGAGACCUUCACGACGGAGGAAAUAACAUCUCUGAAUUACCAGCGUUUAAUUUUUCCUAUCGUUCACUCCUUUUUGUUUCAGCUACCAGAGCCAGACAGGACUUACUAUGUCAAAACCAGUUACCUGUUGGUUAACAUUAACAUUAACAUUAUUUUGCAUAUAAGAACAUCAGCUCUAAAGUUCUGGAAGUGGAACAACUGGUACUCAUUUUAGGCAAGCCUGAGCAUGUUUGAUUGGUUGUUGAAAAAAAUAAAUAAAAGUAAUCUCUCAUGCAAAGCAGUACAUGAUU